GGCCGUGGCCGGGAGCUGGGCUGUAGCUGGGCCGUGGGAUCACUCAGGGCUGCAGGGCUUGUGCCCCCUCCACCCGCCACCCCCCGCCCCCACUCCUGCAUCCGAACCCAGGGGGAUGGUGGCGGGGGCACCACCCUUUCCUGCAUCUUUAAGAUGCCUCCAGCUGUAACUGAGGAGUAACUCAUUCAUCAAGAUUAGCAGUAGGAGUGCACCCAGGGAAACUCAAGAAGUGCAGAGGGAGGAAGGGGGUGAGAGCACCGUGUGAAGCCUGGCUACGUCUCUCCAGGGGUGUUCUCUCCUUCCCAGGACCAAGCCUCAGUCUUCAGGUGGUGUCCUGGGAAGAAACUGGGCUGAGCGAGAAACACCUUCUGAGUUUUGCGUGCAAGAGUUUAAGAAGUUUGUUUUCCCAUAAGAUGAAAAGUCAAGAAAACACAUUGCAAGCCUGUUGGCUAACUCAAUACACUGAGUUUGUAGCCUCUGAUUCCUGCCCAUGGAGUCUAAAUUGGGCAACUUUUCUGGGUUAGAAAACACUUCAUCUGUUGCAAUAGAAUUUUACAUUUACUCUAACCCUGCCUGCCUUUCUGAUUUUUUCUCUUUCCACUCUCCUUUUGCUUGCACAUUUCAACCUGCUCUAGGCACAGUAAGCUGAUUCCUGCCAGGCUUGUGUCUGCUUCAGGCCACUGAGUUUGUCAUCCUUGAGCCCAGAACAACUUUUCACUUGACUGACUGAGGCCAAUUGUUGUCCUUUAGCCAUAUUUUUGGCACUGUCCAGUACCACAACUUUUUCUUUUUCACAUUCUUACUUCAUAGAUAAGCACUUGGGAAGUCUAGCCUAUUACCAAGUCCACCUACCUUUGGAAUGUGAGCUCUGAGGGCAAAGAUUUUAUUCAUCUUGGUAACCCUGUGCCAAUUAGUGUUUCCCCACUAAUUGGCACAGAGUAGGUAAUCAAGAAGUGAAGGAAUGUGUGCAUACAAGCAUUUGUUGACACACUUACCAUAUCAUAUUGUAAUUUGUGUUGCAUGUCUGUCUUUUCCUGUACAUUUUUCAAGGUAGGAAUUAGAUUUUCUUCUUUGGGGUCCUUCCUGGUGAAUGUAUAGUUUGGCCAAGAAUUUACAAUAAGACAGUUUCUAAGCAUUAGUUGGAUCAUACAUUAUUAUCAGCUCCCUCUUUAUUGAAGAAAGCACUGGGAACCUGGGGAAAUUUAGGAGUUUUGGUAUCUCAGCUAAAGCAUUCAUUUCUCCAAGAGAUAGGAUGUUUCUCCAAAGGCAGGAUGCUGCCCUUAUUUUGGUGAAUGUGUGUUGGAUGAAAUGUGCUGUGAAAGAAUGAGAAAAUUCUCUGUAUCUGAUGAAUAUGAUGGACAAGAAAAGGCAGAGGAAGAACUAUGUGCCACAAAUAAAAUGCUUGUGGACUUCACUUAGAAUAGAGACAGAUCAUCUGAAUUUGUGUAAUUUAAAAGUUGGUGAGUAGAUGAUACAGAUUGAGGACCGAACAAAGGAAAAAUAGAGUUCCCUGAGAAAUAGGACAAAGCAGAAAUGUCAUAUGUAAUAUCUUAAAUAAUGAGAGGGUAGAGUAAGUAUCAAAUCCUGAAGUUAGAGUGAGAGACCGUAUCUUUCCAAGAGAAGAGGAGGCCCAACAACACUUAACGAAUGUUGACUGCAGCAAAAGACUUGGCCAUGGUCAAAAACAGGAAGAGUGACUAAGCUAUGGUGACCUAGGAAAUAAUUUAUGGAGUUUUAGUAAACAGAGGCAGAGUUCUCUUUUUGGGAAUUGCUGAAACAUUGUCUUGACAAUCACAAACCAAAGCAGAGGGAAUUUUAAUAGAAGCACGUAAUCUACCCAUGAUGAAAUGUAUUUACAGUUCUGCACCACAGCAUCUGAAGACAAAAAAGUGGAAACAAGAUUGGCAAAUGACUUCAUAGACUGAACGAUGACAACCUUUAUGUGUCUACAGUGGAUAGUACUAGUGAGGCAUGGAACAGUUUACCCUGCAGAAGCCCCCAAAGGCUCAGGAAUUGGAGGUAUAGGGGUGAGCCAGUGGGCUAAAAACAGCCAUUGUUUGAAAUGCCUGUAAGGUGUAGUAGUUAGAGGAGUUCCCAUCACCACCCUGGCUUCUACAGAAAAUAGAAAGCAAAUGCUCUGGAGAACCUUGGGUUUUAGCGACCUCUUGGCCAGCUCAAGAUGCCAAGUGGGGGAAGUAAGGUCAGAGAGAUGUGGCAUUGUACCACUCAUGAAAAGUUACCUUUAGAUAAAGAGAGGACUCUUAAAGAGCUUAACGCUGAAUUAGACAAAGAGAAAGCUCAGUGAACCUGACCACCAGCAAAAAAAAAAAAAAAAAAUGAAGAAAUUGCUUAUCUUGGACUGGACUAAUCUCUGUUGCACCUACUCUGCCAUUUUAGUGCAGAGCUGUAGACUAUUGUAAAUGAAUUACUGUGAUUUAAUAACUGGUUGUGUUCUAGUUAAACUUUAUUUAUUGACCCUGAUAUUUGAAUUUCAUA